rnacentral:rRNA from 1 species
UGGGAACGUACCUUUCAGUUCGGAAUAACCCAGGGAAACUUGGGCUAAGACCGGAUACGCCCUUUUGGGGAAAGAUUUAUCGCUGAGAGAUCGGCCCGCGUCUGAUUAGCUAGUUGGUGAGGUAAAGGCUCACCAAGGCGACGAUCAGUAGCUGGUCUGAGAGGAUGAUCAGCCACAUUGGGACUGAGACACGGCCCAAACUCCGUACGGGAGCAG